ACAUUCCAAAGUGAUAAAUGAAUAGCAAACAGUUUUUUGCCAGGGCGACUCUAAGGCAUUGCAUCUUGCGAAUGCUCCACUAGAGCUGAUCAUUUGACUACCGAAUCUUGUAUUCAGAUCAACUGCCGCGUGGAACUUGACCCAAGCAUUCGCAAUUGCUUGUCUGACAACUUGAAGCAACUAGGGACUUGCAUCAGAUGUUACCAACGUAUUCAUCCACAUCGAUACCAUGCUCUCCACUUUCCUUCUCAAUUCUAGUCGCUGUGGUCAGAACGACUUUGUAGUCUCGGUUCGAGUACACUCUAACAGAAGUCAAGAGAGGGAUAAAAAUAUAGCUCCAAUGUUGACAUGGUUCAUACAGUGAAUUUAGCUGUACCAGCACCUAACCAUCCACCUUCAACUCCAUUCUUCGUCCUUGCUGCCAUGUCCCUUCAUCCAUCUAUUCCUCGUCUAGUAUUUAUGCAAAAAAUGUAUUAUCUGGCAUUGCUUUCUUGGGAUCCUGAAAAUGAAGUGCGUCUUGUUGAAUUAAGGUGCACUCACAGCAUAUGUGCUGCGGUGCACGUACGCAUAAUCUACCAAUUACCCAAUCAAUCCAUUUCACACCUCUCCCAUACCAACAACAACAACAACAACAACAGCCAAUCACACUCCAUCAUGCGUAUGCAUGCUGGACAGCCAAUUGGCUGCGGUGUGCAUACGCAUUAUUUCCUCCUCACGACGAGACGUGGCCUAAAUCAUCCCCGAGUGCGUGCACAUAAAGCAUGUAGGCUACGCUGUUCGUUAAAAUGGUCUGUACGCCAGUUGCAUAGCAACCGACUCAGAGGCUACCAUGUCAAACACUUCUUGCACUUCUUGCUUCGACAGAAGUGUUCAAAUGAAAUCUGAGUUCACGUGGGCUAAAUCGAUGAAUGUGAAGCUAAAUUUCUUCUCUCUAACCUAAACCGGUAGUUCGAACAAACAAAGUAUUACACAGCCCCUCUCUUCUUUCGAGCGUCGUCCCCGACGCUCCCCUUGGUCAGCCUCCCGUGUCAGCCAUCACAACGUAAUCUGUGCUGCGAGAAGCACCCACGAGCUAACCAUCCCAGUUGUCGAGAUUCGAACGCAUGUGUUCCUGUAGUGCUAUCAAUUCCGCGUAGCACUCAGUGCAGCAAAUGCGCGCUCCUUGGCCGUCCUCUCCCACGACACUGUGGUCCCAUGAAAGAUGGAGGUACGAAUCCAAGCUUUCGAAUGAGUCGAGCCUCACACAACACAUAUUGCGAUUCCAGGCUUAAUUGAUACCGUGGAAGAAACGCAAGGGCAUCGUAGAAACCUGAGCAAAUGUGGCGGUCGGGCGUCAUAGGAACAAAAUGCAUGCGAUCCAAGUGUGCAAAGCAUAAAACGAUGUUAUCCAAUGGCAUCCUGCACAUUCUACAUCUGGCAACAGGAGAGAGAGCUUACGGAGGAUGCUUGACCACAACGUCGCAGGUCUCUCUUGGCAGUUCCACUGCACUUGGAGUUCACGGCUAGUGUCGCUUCAGUUGUUAAUAGCUUCCCUCCCUGUCGAACACGAGGGCGAGGGAGAUGCCGAAGCUGGACGUCGAUCUCAGCCCUUGUUACGAGAUACCAGAGGUUCUCUCAUCCAUAGCACAUGCACUUCUUUCACACCGCCAAAAUUUGCUAGAAGCGACAUGGAGCAGGAUAAAAUCCAUCGAAGUCGGAUCCACUUUCCGCUGUCACCAAUGUAGCGUCCCGAGACUCCCUUUAAGGUAAAAGAAGGCAUAGUACGGGGGGUGGAAUACAUGUAUUCUGGAAACAGAGGGUUUGGGGGCUGUUGGCACGGCCCGGGAAAAACCCACGUUGGAAACGUUGCACGUGUGCGCACGAAACCCGCACUUCAAACAAACAAAAGUACUACACCUACAUGCAUUGAAAAGGCACUUAAACUAGCAUGUAUCAUGUGCCUAAGACAGUAGUAUUUUACUUGCACUUAAAUUUAGUUGAAUUAUAAUCAAAUUAUUGCUACGCUGGACUCGAGACUUAUCAGAAGGCAGAAGAACACAUAACACAUAUGUAAUGUAACAGACAGGAAGAAACUGGAGCUGCUGGCAUUGUUCAGAGGCUAGCCCAGUCUGCAAAGGAAAUCCAUCUAACCCGAUUCGUAGUAACGGAAUCUAGAGUCAAGCAAGCAACAAAGCAUUACGACUGCAGUUUAACUCGAUAAGUGGAAGGGGACUGUAAUACAUUGUUUGUUCGAACUGCCGGUUUCGGUCGCUUGGGUGGUCAUCUUGUACUAGCCAAUUCCCCGGCCCUCCCUCCGUGCCAACAGCCGCCAAGCCCUCUGGUUCCAGAAUAUAUAUUCUACUUUGUCACUAAGCCUUCUAUUACUUUAGGGGAACACUCAGGACGCUACAGGGACAAUGUCUUUGGAAUGUGGGGCCGUGAAAAUUAAUCCGUUCUACUUUCUUCCCACCUCCUCUUUUCCUCCUUUAGGCACGUCAGACCACCCAUGUAAGACCGUAAGUUAUUCGGCCUAUAUAUACGCGAUAUAUCGCCUUUGUAAUGUAACAUUUUCGCCAAUCAAUUCUUCUAAAACCUCCCUUUUGGUAUCCACUUAAUAGUCACUAAUUUCUCUUUAAAACAGGUGAGCAGGAAACACUUUCUCAUUAUCUUUAAGAAGAAUAAAGAUGCCCAAUUCAUCCUAUUAGCCACAUUAUCAAACUGGCACAGUUAACUUGAAUUCUAGUUGAAUUAUAAUCAAAUUAUUGCUACGCUCCACUCGAGACUUAUCAGAAGGCAGAAGAACACAUAACACAUAUGUAA
rnacentral:misc_RNA from 1 species